rnacentral:tRNA from 5 species
GGAGGGAUAGCGAAGUGGCUAAACGCGGCGGACUGUAAAUCCGCUCUUUCGGGUUCGGCAGUUCGAAUCUGCCUCCCUCCACCA